rnacentral:rRNA from 1 species
CGGACGGGUGAGUAAUGUCUGGGAACUGCCUGAUGGAGGGGGAUAACUACUGGAAACGGUAGCUAAUACCGCAUAACGUCGCAAGACCAAAGAGGGGGACCGUUCGGGCCUCUUGCCAUCGGAUGUGCCCAGAUGGGAUUAGCUAGUAGGUGGGGUAACGGCUCACCUAGGCGACGAUCCCUAGCUGGUCUGAGAGGAUGACCAGCCACACUGGAACUGAGACACGGUCCAG